rnacentral:lncRNA from 1 species
GUUGCUUGAUGAUUCUCUCGAGAACCAUGGACUCCAGGCGAGGUUACAGGCUUCUGAAACCUCUGCAGGAUCGCGGCUUCAAAGUUCAUGCAGUGACACCAGACUUGUCAUUUCUGUUCAAGAACACCCCAGCCGAGGCCUGGUUUGCUGAGAUGAAGAAAGGCAUCAAAGACCCUGGUGAGAUUCCAUUAGCUCAGAACCUGUCUAAUUUAAUGAGACUAGCAGUUCUAUACAAGUAUGGAGGUGUGUACCUGGACACAGAUUUCAUCGUCAUGAAAUCGUUUUCCGGGUUGAGGAACUCAAUCGGUGCACAAAGUAUGGAUGCUGAGAUGAAACACUGGACCAGACUAAAUAAUGCAGUGCUGGUGUUUGAUAUGAAUCAUCCUCUUCUGCACAAAUUCAUUGAGGAGUUUUCCUUGACUUUUGAUGGGAAUAAAUGGGGUCAUAAUGGACCCUAUCUUGUUUCCAGAGUGGUCCAGAGAGUGGAAAACAGACCUGGAUAUAACUUUACAGUCCUGCCUCCAAUGGCUUUCUAUCCUGUGGAUUGGACUAGAAUAGGGGGAUUGUUUAAGAAGCCGAAAAACCAUGCUGAUACUAAAUGGAUAAAAGCAAAGCUGCUUCAGCUUAGCGGGGAGACUUACGGAGUACACCUGUGGAACAAGCAAAGUAGCAGAGUACAAAUCGAAGAAGGAAGCAUUAUGCAGAGAUUAAUCUCCGAUCACUGCAUCAUCUGUAAAGACAUAUACAGUUCUUAAAGAAUCU